AACGCGAAGAACCUUACCUGGGCUUGAACUACUGGUAGUAAGUCCUUGGAAACAGGGACUGAUCCGCAAGGAAGCCAGCAGAGGUGCUGCAUGGUUGUCGUCAGCUCGUGUCGUGAGAUGUUGGGUUAAGUCCCGCAACGAGCGCAACCCCUCUCUCAUGUUGCUAUCCCCGCAAGGGGAGCACUCUUGAGAUACUGCCUUCGAUAAGAAGGAGGAAGGUGGGGACGACGUCAAAUCCUCAUGGCCCUUAUGUCCAGGGCUACACACGUGCUACAAUGGCCGGUACAACGGGAAGCAAUACCGCAAGGUGGAGCCAAACCCUGAAAGCCGGCCCCAGUUCAGAUUGUGGGCUGCAACUCGCCCACAUGAAGGUGGAAUCGCUAGUAAUCGCGAAUCAGCAGGUCGCGGUGAAUACGUUCCCGGGCCUUGUA
rnacentral:rRNA from 1 species